rnacentral:rRNA from 1 species
GUGGGGAAUAUUGGACAAUGGGCGCAAGCCUGAUCCAGCCAUGCCGCGUGAGUGAUGAAGGCCCUAGGGUUGUAAAGCUCUUUCACCGGUGAAGAUAAUGACGGUAACCGGAGAAGAAGCCCCGGCUAACUUCGUGCCAGCAGCCGCGGUAAUACGAAGGGGGCUAGCGUUGUUCGGAAUUACUGGGCGUAAAGCGCACGUAGGCGGAUAGUUAAGUUAGGGGUGAAAUCCCAGGGCUCAACCCUGGAACUGCCUCUAAUACUGGCUAUCUAGAGUCCGAGAGAGGUGAGUGGAAUUCCGAGUGUAGAGGUGAAAUUCGUAGAUAUUCGGAGGAACACCAGUGGCGAAGGCGGCUCACUGGCUCGGUACUGACGCUGAGGUGCGAAAGCGUGGGGAGCAAACAGGAUUAGAAACCCCUGUAGUCC